rnacentral:lncRNA from 1 species
AUGUUAAUGGAUAGCAGAGAACUGGAAGUUUUUAGAAUAAAGAACAAAGAAGAGAAAAAACAUGAAUCCAUAAGAAACAGAUCUGAGUUCAUCUUUGAUAAUGGGACUCUGAUAAUAAACCGUGUGAUCAGAGCAGAUUCAGGAAAUUACAGAUUAGAGUUCUAUCACUCGGAUGGCUCAAGAACAUUUAAAAAGCAUCUACUUAUUAAUAUAGAAGCUCCUAUUGGCUCAGUGGAAGUGACAAUCAACUGCUCCUCCAAUCAGAGGUCAGUGUUCUGCUCAUCUGACGGGGAUCAGCUCCUUUACAACUGGACUCUGAAUGGAGAAAUACUAGAACAAGGACCAAUGAAUGGAAACACCACCAUUCAGCUAAAUGAGGGAACUGAUGGAGACAUCAGCUGCAGUGUGAAGAACCACUUCAGUCACGCACAGAAGACCAUUAGACUCAAACCCUGUCCUGGUCCAGUUCGGUUCUGCAGUUUUAAUCAAACAGAUCCCUGUUACACAGCUCUGGGAGACAAACUCCAUCUGCCGAUGGUGCUGAAUGCUAUAGAAUAUGACCUGAAGAUACGUAAGAAGAUAUACAACACUCAAGAUGAUCCAGUUUGUAGAGUAAAACAAGGCAGGAUAAAGGAAUGUGAUCUUAAUAAUAACAGAACUGAAUUGACAGUCAUUAAUGGGACUCUGAUAAUAAAUCGUGUGAUCAGAGCAGAUUCUGGGAAUUACACAUUAACACUCUCUCACUCUGACGGAACAGAAACAUCUAGAGAUCUUCAAGUGAUUGUUGAAGCUCCUAUUGGCUCAGUAAAUGUGUCAAUCAUCUGCUCCUCCAGUGGGGUGAUGAGGGUGUCCUGCUCCUCUGAGGGGGAUCAGCUCCUCUACAACUGGACUCUGAAUGGAGGUCCACUGAUGGAUGGAAACAGCAGCAUUGAUCUGGAUGAGAGAACUGAUGGAGACAUCAGCUGCAGCGUGAAGAACCACGUCAGUCACGCACAGAAGACCAUUAGACUCAAACCCUGUCCUGUAUAUGUAGUGUCUGUGGUGUUUGUUCUGGUCUGGUGUCUUCAGCUGAUGGUUCUGUUCGGUCUGUUAGGAACUUUUCACAUCUACAUGAGACACACGUCAGGAAAGAAAGAGGAAGAUGAGAAAGUGAGAAUGAGAAGAUUUAGAGAGAGACAUGAACACACAGCAGAAGAUUCAUGAGAGCAGCAGCAGAUCUUCACAUCUGUGAGAAAUGACUUCAGAAUCAGUCCAGCUUUCACCUGCUGAAUAAAACCAGGAGACAGAAGAAGCUUUCAUGAUAGACAAUGGUCUUUACAUGUGUUUAUUUCUUGAACACUUUUUUUGUAUCAGUUUUAUUCAUAUAAUUAUUUUGUAUUCGGUCUUUAUGCUUUCAAUGACUAGAAGUAUUUUAUUACAUUGAAUUAAACUCCUUCUGUUCAUCUGUGAUCAAAUUCUUUUAUUUCUCUGAAUCAGAUCUGUCAGAUUGUGAACUCAUUCUGUGUGUUUUUUCUGUUCUUUCUCUUUUAAUUUAUUCUUGAUUUGGUUGAUUUCUCUUUAUGUUCAGUGUCUGUUGAGGUGUUUUAUCUGUUUGAAGCUCUUCAUCCGUGUCUCAGUUUUGCAGCGUCUGGUGUUUUCUGACUCUGGUUUUGCUUGAAUCUGCAGGUUUUUUUACAUUCAUUUUAACACAUUUAACCACAUAUGUGCAUUUAACUUCACAAUAUAUUUGUGUCAUUAUAGAGUAAUGAUAAACAUGUCAUUCUUUUAGAAACUGUAAUUGAUGUCAUUGUUUAUUUUGUUAUGCUUUACUUUGAGUUAUAUUAAAAUAAAAUGCUUUGAAAUGAAAUGUAAAUAUACAUUCAAUUAACAUGUUAUCUAUCAGCAUGAUUCCACGGUUGAUAUUUAUUUUAGACUAUUCAUGAUAACUUCUAGCUAGUUGUCUUGGUCAAAUCUUAUGUAACAACAUUAGACAGAUUCAUUUCAGCAACAAUCUGAAAUCUGACCCGACAGAUCAGAAUAUCGAUUAUUUACAGACUUAGAGCAGUAAAACACAAUAUCAAAUGCACUAAAACAGCAUUAUUUAAUGAUGAAUUAAAUUCUUUGUUGACUAUUAAUGAAUAAUUAGUUGAUGGUAACUGAAAAGCAUCAGUAAUGUGUCUUUAAUUAGCAGUUAAGUUCAGAUAAAUCAGAUGAAGCUCAUUUUAAGCGUGAUGUUGUGAGUGAAAUGAAAGCAGCUGUAGUUGUAGUUUCCUCCUGCAGGUGUCGCUCUCUACAUGAGCAGCUCGGAGCAGAUAUAAACUCAAUGUCCCAUGAGUCUCAGCUGCAGCAGACAGAAGAUUGAAGCUCACAAUCCUCUCUUCAUUCACACAUCAACUGAUGGAUCCGAGUCAAACAUCAUCACACACAGUCUGCUGGAAACACCACAUAUAGACCUGAUUCUGCUUUACUCUCAAUAAACAUGUCUACAGCAUCUCAUCAGUCAACUAAAGACACUGUUUCAGUGGAUUUAAAGGAGAAUCGUUAAAGCGUAUUUCAUAAUAAUAGAAAUUUAAAAUCAUUAAUAAACAACCAUAAGAAAACGUGUUGCUUCCAAAAACAAGAUUUUUUUUUAACUUUGUGACUGAAAAAGGUUCCUUCUUUCUCUUAGUUUCAUUUGUUUUGGAUAAAUUGUGAUGCAAACUAGCAGGAUGAGUAUUCCCCCAUAGCCUGUAGUGAUGGGUCAUUCUUGAAUGAUUCGUUCAUUUUGAACAAAUCAUUAAUGUGACUUGGAAAGAACGAGUCGUCUCGGAGAGUGAUUCUUUCAGUCGCACAUGCACAAAACUUUAUAGGUUCUUUACUGGAAUUAGUUCACCUCUUUCAGUCAAUGUAGUUUGAGCCAAAAAAAAAAAGAGAUUGUUGUCACUGCACUUCCUGGCCAGGUGGCUCACCUUUUGUGCCUCAAUGUCAUCCACAAACUUAAUGAAGAGAUUGGAGUUGUGUGAUGGUGUGUAGUCGUGGGUCAGCAGAGUGAAGAGGAGGGGGCUCAGCACACAUCCUUGAGGGGCCCCAGUGUUCAGUGUGAUGGUGCUGGAUGUGUUGUUGCCGACCCGUACUGCCUGAGGUCUUCCAGUCAGAAAGUCCAACAGCCAGUUGCACAGUGAAGUGUUGAGCCCCAGCUGAAUCAGUUUGUAGAUGAGCUGUUGAGGGAUGAUUGUGUUGAAUGCUGAACUGAAGUCUAUGGACAGUAUUCUGACAUAUGAGUCCUUUUGUCCAGUUAUGUGAGUGCUGAGUGGAGGGUAGUGGUGAUGGCAUCAUCGGUUGAGCGGUUGGACCGAUAUGCAAACUGGAAGGGGUCAUUGAAGGGGUCAAGUGGGGUCAAGUAGAUGGUAGUCAUUGAAGCAGGAUAGAGACAGCUUCUUUGGGACUGGAAUGAUGGUGGUAGCUUUGAAGCAUGUGUGAACAACAACCUGACUAAGCAAGAUGUUGAAAAUGUUUGUGAGGACAUCAGUGAGAUCCACUGCACAGUCUCUCAGUAAACACAGGAAUGCUGUCAGGACCUGGAGCUUUGCAGGCAUUGAUCACACUGUCUGGGGUCAGCGUCAUCACCUGGUCACCGGGAGGAGGUGGAGAGCUGUUUUGUGCCUCAAAGUGAGCAAAGAAGGCAUUCAGCUUGUUCAGCAGGGAGAUAGUGCCGUCACAGGUCUGUGGUAAGGGCUUGUAGUCCAUAAUGGUCUGUAUCCCUUGCCACAGGCUCUGAGUGUCUCUGCUGUCUCUGAAACGAUAAGCUAUCCUCCUUGAAUACUGUCUCUUAGCACCUCUGAUGCAUGCCACUGGAGGUUGCUGUCCCCGGACCCACUUCAUCUCCAGCUCCUCAGGCCUACCUGAUUCCAGAGGCUGCACUGAGUGUGUGCGGAGAGGAAUUGGAUGGGGGCUGCAAUGAAGACAUAGGCAGAGAGAGGCUAGGAAUAGAGCUGACCAGAAUCCCAGAGAGGCAGGCAGGUAUGAAGGAGGAAUGACAAAAACAGGAACACCAGACCAAGUAGACUAGAAAGAUAAACAAAACAAGAUGGGGUCAGAAACACGACAGAAACAAAAGGCCAUGUGCUCCAGGAAAACAUGGCCUAGUCAGACCCACCAAGAUCGUUACAGUUAGAGCCACAAAUCUGUAGUCGUAACAUCCUGUUAUCUUUGGUUUCUUUGGAACGGGGAUCAUGGUGGAGCAUCUGAAAGAGGGAAGGGACUUCACACAACUCCAAAGAUCUGUGAAAAUAUGGAGGCCAGCUGGUCAGCACAGGUGUUCAAACAGGCCGGUGUCACACCGUCUAGGCCUGGUGACUUUCUUCUUUUGUUCUUCCUGAAUACUCGUCUCACAUCGUCCUCACUGAUCUGUAGUGUAAGAGGGUGGAAUGCGGAUUGCAGGAGGUGUUAACAGUUGUGUAGAGAGUUGGUCAGAACAGGUGUGUGUGUGUGGGGGGGGGGGGUGCUUGAAUUGUACAAGACUCAAGGUGUUUUUCAAUGUCAAGGAAGGAUCCUCGGAAGCCAGUAUUUCAAGGAUGCUACGUCAUCGACAUCCGUCGAAGGACUGUUCCAAUGUCGAGGAUCCUCCGAAUUUCAAACAAGGACUGAGUCCUUCGUUCGAAGAAUAUCCCAUACACAGGAAAGGAUGCAUAUGUGUAUCCUUCGCGCUCUUCGCGCUCUCAAAUUACCCACAAUCCUAUGCGCACAGCUUUGCUAUCUAACGUUAGUUCAAAAAAUCAAAAAUGUCAAACGUUAACGUAGUCGGAGCGUUAACAAUUUUUAUUUACGUUACCAAACAUUUGUUAUAACUGUAGUAAAAAUUUGUAAAGUCUGACAUUUAAAUGCCGGUACAAAUUACUACCGUAUUGAUAUUGUAAAUUAUACAAACUGAACCGGACCUGUCAUUUAACAACUGGUUGCGUCAUCGGGAUUUCUUUUAUAAAUAACUAGUUAAGUUGUCCAAAGUAAUUUAAUGAUACCAUUCACAAACGGACCUUUUCACUGACGUAAUGACGCAAUUACAUGCAAUUGCUAGCCUGUUCCAUUUACGUGUUCUCCGUAUGCUAAAGAGGAGUCUCACCUAGCCUCUGAAGGAAGUGACUUGGAAGGAUCAGUCCUACCAAGGAAGUAUCCUUGACAUUGAGAAAUGCCUUCAGUGCCCAUUUUUGUUAGCAUCCUCUUUGGCCUAACA